UCCCAGCACUCAGGAAACAAGGUCAGCCUUGUCUACAGGACAGCAAGGACUGACUAUACAGAGAAACCAUGUGUGUGGUGUGUAUGGGGGAUGCAGGAGGUAGUAUUUUUUUCAGACUUAACACUUUAGGCUUUAUAUACUAAAGAUUAAGUUCAGAGAUGAUUGGAAUGUAUCAAUUAUCAGUGUAACCCUAAUUAUGACUUUCUAAAUAACUACCUACAAUCCUUUGAUUGUGGUCUGCUGGCCUGGAAGAAACAAAGUAUGAAGAUGCAAAGAUACUAUGCAAAGCAGAAUACUGCCAUUUCAGUUUUAUAUUUAUAUCCUGUAAAUUUUAAGGUAAAAUUUAUUAUCUUUAUCAUAUACUAGUUUUCUUUUUCUUUUUUUGAGAAAAUCCCCUUUAGACAUUGUUAAUAUUUAUAUGAUUUUUUUCUAGUAGCAACAUAAAAAUGAUAAUUAAAUUAGCUUAUAUGGUGUAAGAUUAUUAUUAUUAUUUUGGUUUUGGGAUAGGGUCUUUCUGCAUACCAUUGGCUGUCCUGGAACUCAGUAUAUAGACCAGGGUGUUCUCCUACUCCUAGAAAUCCACCUGCUUGUUCCUCCCAGUGCUGAGAUUGAAGGCAUAGGUUACCGUGUUUGACUAAAAGAUUAUUUUUAAGAGAUUUCCCCCCAUUUAAUUAAUGAAUAAAAUUUCUUAGAACAGUUCUUUUGUGGGGUGGGAACUCCCUUUUGCAUAACAGUUCUUAGAUAUUUUGUGCACUGAGAUAAAUUUCAAGGAAAUGGUUUAUCGUGCUCUUUGCAAGUACAGUGGUAUCAUGACCCGUUUCUCAUUUAAUAUAGUUUGCUGCAUUUAAUUGCUAUUAACCUUUGCAGAAACUGAUCAGUGUUCAGACAGGCAUGAUUUUAGACCUAGUGUUCAACACUCAUAAUGGAGAAAAAUGUAUUUCUCCCUCCUGCCUUUUGGCCUCCCGUGUCCAUUAUUGGGAAUAAUUAGGAAAACUGUCAGAACUUUUGUAGUCUGUUUAAGGUCUCUAGUAUUAUCUUACUGCUUUUUCUACAAUUUUCCUUUCCACCUUGCAUAUCUAAUCUGAUCACUCUUGGCAUAGAUGUUACAUGUGACAAGCCUUUCCUUUCCACAGUCAUCUGCUUCAGCUUAAUUAGCAGCGUGUUCUUUCUGGUCUGUGUGCUUUGCCCUCCUGCAAACCCAUGAGAAACAGUGUUAGCGUCUUGGGCUCAUUUGCUGAGAUGCUUAGAUUGGCUAAUGAGAGAGAAGGGUUCUUACUAUGUGUGCCUGGAGUAGCUGUAGUUUAUAAACAGAAAAAUUUUCCGUACUUUUUAUUUACAUCAUUUGCAAAUGAUGAGUUUUACUAUGUAGUUUUAGUAAGAAUAGGAAAGUAGUAGAUUUUGCUGUGAGAGUGGUUCGUGGUCACAGUGCCCUAAUGGGCACCUUGGAGUAAGAGUUGAGCUGUCCUACUCUUUUAGCCUAUGCUGCAACCUCCAGCUGCCACUUCCUCUCUUGUACUAGAAACUGGUGGCUUUCAGAUCCCUUCAUAAGUCUCGUAUACCUAAUAAUUGUAAUGAUAUUACAGGGAGUAAGUGUUUCUCUAGCUCUUUGCCUGCUGAGCCUUAUAUACAUGAUAGGUCACUUAUUUACCAUGGUAGUGUUAUAGAGGCGGAUUGUCAGCUUUGCUAGUUGCUAGUGGAAGAAGCUGAGGAACAGGUUAACUAGUUAGGCCUAAUCACACCACUGGUAAAGUAGACAUAGGAUCAGAACCUCUUCAGGUCAUGUGUGAAAGCUGUGGUUUUAACUGUCUCUCAGCUGUGGCUACAUCAGAGUUCUGUACUUCUCAUAGCACCCUGAACAUUUUCCUCACAUACUAAUAUAUUUAGUUACCUUUAGAAAUAGCAUGUCUGAAUUAAGACUUUGUGUUUAUUUUUAAAUAACCAUAGUCACCAUCGGGAUGUGUGUGAUCAUUGGCCACUGUACAGCUUUUUGAGCUUUGGAAUCACAUUUGACAAGCUAAUUGCUUACUUCACGUUAGCUUUUCUAUAGCACUUGCUUUGCAUUUCGGCAGGGCCAGGGACUCAGCUUCUCAGAGUUAGGGUGGCCUGGAAGAGUUAGCACUGUCCAGAGCUGAAACGGACGGAGCAGGGGUUGAAUUGGGUUUUCAGUGCUGCCUGACAAACACAGGAUUAAAGUCCAAUAGAACCCAUAUGAAUUUCAGUGGUAAAUUUCAGUUUUUAGAACCAUGAUCUUUACUUUACUACUCAUUAAGUGUGGUUUGUAUAUAAGCAGUGGUACGGCCUCGAGAAUUGCAGAAGUGGAGGCUUUCCUGCCUCCAGCUCCCUGAGAAUCAGUGGAUAUGUGGCAGUCGUUGUUUCAGGUGCAGCGAUCCUGAGUUUAAGACUAGAUAUUUCCCUCCCUCAGUACACAGCUCCUUCCUACUUUCAUGCAUUUUUUUUUCUUCAUUCUUAUUUCUAUUAAGGUGUUUUAUUGCAGCUUUCUGAAAUUCUGAAAUGAGUCUUUAAUAAUGACCCCCCCACCCCCACCUCACUGAAGAUCAUUUUGUUGGUUUACAUUUUUCUGUCACAAUCUUAGCAUUUCUUGUAAGAAGUGUGGUUCUCAAUGAGUCUUGUGACUCUAGAAUUAUUGAAAAUCACACUUUGAAAGAAUCAGGGCUGUUCCCUGUUUGUCCUAAUGUACGUACGGCUUGUGGCUUCAUUUUAAAUUGGCCAUCAGGUUAAAAGUACUUGUUCUAGUGUGUUUACAAAAAAUGAUAUACAAAGUAUUCAAUUAAUUUUUACUGAGUAGCCAGAAAAGUACAGUGGAAGAUUCCUCUCUGGAUCGUUGUUUCUCUUGAUUAGACAGAAAUAGAUUUCUCUUCCUUUCUGGUUUUACUUUUGUUUUAGCCUCCUCUGCCGUUUAAAGGUUAGGUUACCUUAGCAUGGUAGUGCUGGGCAGUAGCUAUUGGAAUACAGGUCCCCCUGGAAAGGAUGAAGGGCGUGCUCAGCAGUCAGACUAGUGUAGUUAUCACGGAGUCAGUGUGGAAACAUUUUUUUGCCACUACAAAGGAAAGAAACUCUUGUUCUUUACCUUACCCCCUCCCUUCUAUUCCUUUACCCCAGAAAAUCUCCAUCUGCUUCCUUUUGCACUGCCUAUUCUCAUCAUUCAGCUCCCUAAAUCACACCGUAUCGUACGAGGUCUAUGGGCUUCCCCAGCAGAUUUUCAAAAAGUUAUCACUUUUUUAGCAUGCAUUUAUGUUUAGCAUGGAAAUGUGCUUGCUUCCUUCAUUGCUGGAUAAUACUCCAUCAUCUGAAUCGUGUAUAUACAUACUUAGAUUUAUUUUUAUUUUUUGUAUAUGAGUAUUUGCCUACAUGUAUGUCUGUGUCCCAUGCAUGUGCCUGGUGCUAGUGGGGGCCAGAAGGAAGCAUUGAUCCCCUGGAACUGGAGUUACAGGCAGUUGUGAGCCACUGUGUGGUCAUGGGAACUGAACCUGGUUCAUUGCAAGAGCCAGUGAGUGCUCUUAACCACUGAGCCAUCUCACCAGCCCCUUAAUAUUGCAUAUUUUAUGUCUUUUUUAUUGGAUUGCAUCAUUUUCCCCAUUGGGCUACUGUGAACAGUGCUUUUCUGGGAUAAUACAUCUUUUCACUUUCUUGGGGACACAAU
rnacentral:lncRNA from 1 species